rnacentral:misc_RNA from 1 species
UCUCUUGACGUUUUUCGUAGAAUCUCCCACCUUUACUGUUCUGGUAGGUAAUAUAUAUGUGAAUUUAAUGACUAUGAAUGCCAACUUGAACCUCAGUAGUUGGGUGUCAACGUUAUAUAUCGAUCAUCGAUCAGUGAUAAAUUGGGCGUAUAUCAAUAGUUGCAACAGAUAAGAAUUAAAAUAUUGUCAUGGAAAAAGGUAUAACAAUGUCGCCACCACCACCACCACCACCUGGUUUUGUCCCACCACCACCACCAUCUCAUUCUGUCCCACCACCGUCAUAUGAGCAACCACAAACAAGUCCCAUUGUCGUAAGGAAUUUAAAUUUUGGUCCUGAACAACAGCACAUAAUAUGUCCUUCUUGUCACGCAAAUGUGCUCACAAUAACUGAAAAGGAAGCAAACAUGAAAACUCACCUCUUCGCAUUAGGACUAUGUGUUAUAGGGUUCUGGUGUUGUGUUCCUUGCCCUUACUGCAUGGAUAGUUGUUUGGUAACAAAACAUUAUUGUCCUAAUUGUAGAUCAUAUUUAGGACAAAGUAAUAAUUAAUUCUAUGGUAAUAUUAUCAAAACCAUUUCCUUAUAUAUAUACAUAUAUAUAAUAUUUCAUAUAUAUAUAUGAAAUAUAAUAUAAUAUAAUAUAAUAUAAUAAAUAUAAUAUUUCAUAUAUAUAUAUGAAAUAUAAUAUAUAUUAUUCUGACUUUUUAUAAGGCAUAAACAAUAUUUUGCGCAUUUAUUUUAUACAAUUACUUUUUUUUUAAAGUGUUCAUUAUCUUGAAAAUAUGACCAAAAAACAUAGAUAUUUUACAUAAGGUUGUAGAUGCUUAUUCUAACUUAAGUUAAUUGGUUAAUUAACUUAACUUAAUUUUAAUGAUUAAAAAUUUAAAGUUGUCGAUAUAAUUUAUAGAAAGGUAACCUUUAAAUCAAUUUUGUAAUUGUAUUAAUAUCUCGUUUUAUACUUCUUAGCACACAAUUGUAAAUUUAGACACUAUUUUAAAUAUGACUGCUAAACAAGUAUAGAUGUUCAUUUUAAUAUUAUAAAUAUACUAUAUAUAUUAUAUAUAUAAACUAAUAUACUAAAAUCUAUAUUAUAAAUUUUUAUGAAAAUUUUUUUAAAUGUAAGAUCUAGAAUUGUAAAUUAAAAAUGACUAUACUACUACCAUCAAUAAUAAGUUUUGUAUUAAUGUACUGAAAUCUUUUUAUUAUUUAAUUACAUACAUUUAUGUAUAAGUCUGAUUUAUUGCUUCUCAAUCAAUCUUAUGUAUAAAAAAUCUUUGAUGUUAUAGUCAGAUUGAAGCACAUGAAAGAAUAGGUAUUGCAAUAAAUAUUUUUAUUGAAGAUUUCACAUGUUUUAUUCAUAUACCAAGCUUUCUGACCAAGAUGCCCAAUCAAUAACUUCCUUUUCUUCUCCAAACCAGAGUUUGAUCUCUUUAUUGGCAGAUUCAAC